CAGCUUCUCAGCAGAUAUUUUUAUGUUAACCCUGAGUGUCCUUUUCUGUGUGACUCUAUGUGCAAUGAAAGGUUAAGAGUGGACAGGUGGUUGGCUAUUUCUUGCUCCAAGUAAGUUAAAAGAAACUGACCAAGUCUAUUCAAGGACCACAAUGAGGGGGGUCAGAAGUGAUUGAUCAUCUCAGCUGCAAACAUGGUCUUUGCCAUAAACUGACCAUAAUAGGAUGAAUGGUUUUCUGUAUCUUUCUGUAUGUAUAUUUCAGGACACUUGCUACGUAGACAGAUCUUAGCACGUAGCGGUCUUGUUUGUAAAGGUAUAUAAGACAUGUGUUGUUUUCAUGGAGGGAGAGUAGUCUGGCUGAUGACACUCCCUCGUGUGCACGAGCAAUAAAAUCUGCUUAUUCAACUCUUUUGGGAAGAAUCUGUGUCUCAAAGUUACUGAGCAUUCACAGUUGGGGGCUCGUCCGGGAUCCCACAUUUCGGACUCAGGAUCCAGACGGUGCAGACUCACGAUCCUUUACCCAACAUUGAGCUCAUCUAAAAAAAGUCUCUCAAAUCACAGGUGCAAGCAGUGCGCACGGACACAGGACGACAAACCAAUUCACCAAAUCCAACCAGGAGAAUACGUAUUGGUCAAGAGUUUUUAAAAGAAAGAAACCAUAUAAAGCUUUUCCCAAUUCCAAGGAAAUCAACAAGUUAGUCCUCCAACAGGCACAAUAAUCCUAGCUGACUAACCUACGUGGGAAAGCCGAGAAAGGCCAAGAGGCCACUCGUGAAACCAUGCAGCAAAAUA